CUUCUAAGUCGAACGUGAAAUCCCCGGGCUCAACCCGGGAACUGCGUCCGAUACUGGAAGGCUUGAAUCCGGGAGAGGGAUGCGGAAUUCCAGGUGUAGCGGUGAAAUGCGUAGAUAUCUGGAGGAACACCGGUGGCGAAGGCGGCAUCCUGGACCGGCAUUGACGCUGAGGCGCGAAAGCCAGGGGAGCAAACGGGAUUAGAUACCCCGGUAGUCCUGGCCCUAAACGAUGAAUGCUUGGUGUGGCGGGUAUCGAUCCCUGCCGUGCCGAAGCUAACGCAUUAAGCAUUCCGCCUGGGGAGUACGGUCGCAAGGCUGAAACCCAAAGGAAUUGACGGGGGCCCGCACAAGCGGUGGAGCAUGUGGUUUAAUUCGACGCAACGCGAAGAACCUUACCCAGGCUUGAACUGCAGGUGACACUCUACGAAAGUAGACUUCCGCAAGGACGCCUGUAGAGGUGCUGCAUGGCUGUCGUCAGCUCGUGUCGUGAGAUGUUGGGUUAAGUCCCGCAACGAGCGCAACCCUUGUCUUCUGUUGCCAUCGGGUCAAGCCGGGCACUCUGAAGAGACUGCCGGUGACAAACCGGAGGAAGGUGGGGGAUGACGUCAAGUCAGCAUGGCCUUUAUGUCUGGGGCCACACACGUGCUACAAUGGCCGGUACAAACCGUCGCGAGCCCGCAAGGGGGAGCUAAUCGGAGAAAGCCGGUCUCAGUUCGGAUUGUAGGCUGCAACUCGCCUGCAUGAAGUUGGAAUCGCUAGUAAUCGCGGAUCAGCACGCCGCGGUGAAUACGUUCCCGGGCUG
rnacentral:rRNA from 1 species